rnacentral:rRNA from 1 species
GAUGAACGCUAGCGGCAGGCUUAAUACAUGCAAGUCGAGGGGCAGCACAGGUAGCAAUACUGGGUGGCGACCGGCAAACGGGUGCGGAACACGUACACAACUUACCUUAGAGUGGGGGAUAGCCCAGGGAAACUUGGAUUAAUACCCCAUAAAACAGGGGGCCCGCAUGGGCAUAUUGUUAAAGAUUUAUCGCUUUAAGAUGGGUGUGCGUAUGAUUAGGUAGUUGGUAGGGUAAAGGCCUACCAAGCCGACGAUCAUUAACUGGUGUGAGAGCACGACCAGUCACACGGGCACUGAGACACGGGCCCGACUCCUACGGGAGGCAGCAGUAAGGAAUAUUGGUCAAUGGACGGAAGUCUGAACCAGCCAUGCCGCGUGAAGGAUGAAGGUCCUCUGGAUUGUAAACUUCUUUUAUAGGGGGCGAAAAAGGGCCAUUCUUGGUCAACUGACGGUACCCUAUGAAUAAGCACCGGCUAACUCCGUGCCAGCCGCCGCCGUAACAC